rnacentral:rRNA from 1 species
CGAGUGUAAACCCUUUUACUGUGGGAUGAGCAGACAGUACCACAGCACAAGUCUCGCUACUACGUGCCAGCAGCCGCGUGAGACGUAGGAGGCGAGCGUAUCGGAUUCACUGGGCGUAAAGGGCAAGUAGGCGGUUGUUCAAGUUGGGCGUGACAGAUCUCGGCUUAACUGAGAGAGGUCGUCCAAUACUGAGCGACUAGAGGGCAGGAGAGGAAAGUGGAACUCCCGAUGUAGCGGUGGAAUGGUCAGAUAUCGGGAAGAACACCAGUGGCGAAGGCGGCUUUCUGGCCUGCACCUGACGCUGAGAGGCGAAAGCUAGGGUAGCAAACGGGCUUAGAUACCCCGGUAGUCCUAGCUGUAAACGUUGGAUACUAGGUAAUGGUGGUCAAGGCCAUCAGUGCCGAAGCAAACGCGUUAAGUAUCCCGCCUGGGGACUACGACCGCAAGGUUAAAACUCAAAGGAAUUGACGGGGACCCGCACAAGCAGCGGAGCGUGUGGUUUAAUUCGAUGCUACACGAAGAACCUUACCUGGGCUUGACAUGUACGUCGUAGGGAACCGAAAGGUAACCGAUCCUUCGGGAAGCGUACACAGGUGCUGCAUGGCUGUCGUCAGCUCGUGCCGUGAGGUGUUCGGUUAAGUCCGACAACGAGCGCAACCCUUGUUGCCAGUUAUACUUUACUGGCGAGACUGCUGGCAUGUAACCAGAGGAAGGUGGGGAUGACGUCAAGUCAGUAUGGCCUUUAUGUCCAGGGCUACACACACGCUACAAUGGCCGGUACAGAGGGUAGCCAA